GACGAACGCUGGCGGCGUGCUUAACACAUGCAAGUCGAACGGAAAGGCCCUGCUUUUGUGGGGUGCUCGAGUGGCGAACGGGUGAGUAACACGUGAGUAACCUGCCCUUGACUUUGGGAUAACUUCAGGAAACUGGGGCUAAUACCGGAUAGGAGCUCCUGCUGCAUGGUGGGGGUUGGAAAGUUUCGGCGGUUGGGGAUGGACUCGCGGCUUAUCAGCUUGUUGGUGGGGUAGUGGCUUACCAAGGCUUUGACGGGUAGCCGGCCUGAGAGGGUGACCGGCCACAUUGGGACUGGGAUACGGCCCAGACUCCUACGGGCGGCAGCAGUGGGGAAUAUUGCACAAUGGGCGGCAGCCUGAUGCAGCAACGCCGCGUGCGGGAUAACGGCCUUCGGGUUGUAAACCGCUUUCGCCUGUGACGAAGCGUGAGUGACGGUACUGGGUAAAGAAGCACCGGCUAACUACGU
rnacentral:rRNA from 1 species